GCACUUUUAUUAUAUGCGCCCGGAGUGUCGCGUGCACAAUUAACAUGCCUCGCUCGACAGAGUUCAGACUUCGUUGGCGUGUGUCUUUUGGUUUGGUUAAGAGGAAUUAUCCGAAGGUAACAAAGUCGGAGAAUUCGAUGCGACUUGCACGUAUCUGUUUGGAAGAAAGUGGUGAGAUCUAGGCUCCUCCGCCACUAGGAGAAAAUUGAAGAAGGGGAGCAACUUCAAAGUCAGGGAACCGGAGCCUUCUUGGUCACCCUCUGCCUCAGCCUUUAAAUCCGACAGCCUUUGGUUGGAGUCCCAGUCCCAGGAGAAGAAAGUUCACCGGUUUUAUAGAAUGCUUUAUGUACAAUAUCUCGUUGGGAUCUUCGCAUCAAU
rnacentral:lncRNA from 1 species